GACGAACGCUGGCGGCGCGCCUAACACAUGCAAGUCGAACGGGGUGCGUUCGAAUGAAGUUUUCGGAUGGAAUUUGGACGUACCUAGUGGCGAACGGGUGAGUAACACGUGAAUAACCUGCCCUGGAGUGGGGGACAACAGUUGGAAACGACUGCUAAUACCGCAUAAGCGCACGGUAUCGCAUGGUACAGUGUGAAAAACUCCGGUGGUAUGAGAUGGACCCGCGUCUGAUUAGCCAGUUGGUGGGUAACGGCCUACCAAAGCGACGAUCAGUAGCCGACCUGAGAGGGUGACCGGCCACAUUGGGACUGAGACACGGCCCAAAACUCCUACGGGAGGCAGCAGUGGGGAAUAUUGCACAAUGGGGGAAACCCUGAUGCAGCGACGCCGCGUGAACGAAGAAGUAUUUCGGUAUGUAAAGUUCAUCAGCAGGGAAGAUAAUGACGGUACCUGACUAAGAAGCAACCGGCUAAAAUACGUG
rnacentral:rRNA from 1 species